AGCAUAACCUUUUUCCUUAGAAGGGAAAAAGCCUAUUAUCAGUCACAAGGAAUACAUUUUGGGGCCCCUAACACAGCUCAAGGUCUGGGCCCCUGGGGGCCCGCCUCCAACUCCCACCCAAGGGCCUGCCUCCAAAUCCCAUCCCAGGGCCUGCUUCCAAAUCCCGCCCACAGGAAUACACACACACAGACCCAAACACACGCACUGAUACAAAAAGGACAGAUACACACACACACACACACACAAAGAUACACACAUACUGACACAGACACAUACUGAAUCAGAGAUACACACAUACAGGCAUACAUACUGACACACAGAUACUGAAACAAAUAGAAUUUAUUUUUGUUGAUUGC